UACGUAGGGUGCGAGCGUUAAUCGGAAUUGCUGGGCGUAAAGCGUGCGCAGGCGGUUCUGAAAGUCAGCUGUGAAAGCCCCGGGCUUAACCUGGGAAUUGCGGUUGAAACUACAGGGCUAGAAUCUGGCAGAGGGGGGUGGAAUUCCACGUGUAGCAGUGAAAUGCGUAGAGAUGUGGAGGAACACCGAUGGCGAAGGCAGCCCCCUGGGCUGAGAUUGACGCUCAGGCACGAAAGCGUGGGGAGCAAACAGG
rnacentral:rRNA from 1 species